rnacentral:rRNA from 1 species
GACGAACGCUGGCGGCGUGCUUAACACAUGCAAGUCGAACGGAAAGGCCCUGCUUUUGUGGGGUGCUCGAGUGGCGAACGGGUGAGUAACACGUGAGUAACCUGCCCUUGACUUUGGGAUAACUUCAGGAAACUGGGGCUAAUACCGGAUAGGAGCUCCUGCUGCAUGGUGGGGGUUGGAAAGUUUCGGCGGUUGGGGAUGGACUCGCGGCCUAUCAGCUUGUUGGUGGGGUAGUGGCUUACCAAGGCUUUGACGGGUAGCCGGCCUGAGAGGGUGACCGGCCACAUUGGGACUGAGAGACGGCCCAGACUCCUACGGGAGGCAGCAGUGGGGAAUAUUGCACAAUGGGCGGAAGCCUGAUGCAGCAACGCCGCGUGCGGGAUGACGGCCUUCGGGUUGUAAACCGCUUUCGCCUGUGACGAAGCGUGAGUGACGGUAAUGGGUAAAGAAGCACCGGCUAACUACGUG